CCCAUCUCUUGGCAGGAAGCCUACACGUCCUUCAGUCCUUCAGUCCAGCCUUCUGCCUGCUGCUUCAGACCCAAAACAUCCUGUUUGUCCAGCAGUCAGCUAGGAGCCGGAGCCACGGUGGUGAACAUGCCAUCAGGACGCGGCAAGAAGCAGGAAGGCCAUCACUUGAUGAGGGUCCUUUCCUGCCAGGGAGACCUCGGGUGAAGGAGCUCCUGCUCCUGAAAGGAAAGCCCCCUCAAACUGCCUCCAAGCUCACUUGACAUCUUCCACAGCUACCCCCUGGCCACCGGGAAGUGAGCCACAGGUCUGAACAGCGCAGUUCUGGAGACUGGAAAUCCAAGAUCACGGCGCCAGCACAUUCAUUGUCAGG